rnacentral:rRNA from 1 species
CUGGCGGCAGGCCUACACAUGCAAGUCGAGCGGUAGAGAGGUGCUUGCACCUCUUGAGAGCGGCGGACGGGUGAGUAAUGCCUAGGAAUCUGCCUGGUAGUGGGGGAUAACGCUCGGAAACGGACGCUAAUACCGCAUACGUCCUACGGGAGAAAGCAGGGGACCUUCGGGCCUUGCGCUAUCAGAUGAGCCUAGGUCGGAUUAGCUAGUUGGUGAGGUAAUGGCUCACCAAGGCGACGAUCCGUAACUGGUCUGAGAGGAUGAUCAGUCACACUGGAACUGAGACACGGUCCAGACUCCUACGGGAGGCAGCAGUGGGGAAUAUUGGACAAUGGGCGAAAGCCUGAUCCAGCCAUGCCGCGUGUGUGAAGAAGGUCUUCGGAUUGUAAAGCACUUUAAGUUGGGAGGAAGGGCAUUAACCUAAUACGUUAGUGUUUUGACGUUACCGACAGAAUAAGCACCGGCUAACUCUGUGCCAGCAGCCGCGGUAAUACAGAGGGUGCAAGCGUUAAUCGGAAUUACUGGGCGUAAAGCGCGCGUAGGUGGUUCGUUAAGUUGGAUGUGAAAUCCCCGGGCUCAACCUGGGAACUGCAUUCAAAACUGUCGAGCUAGAGUAUGGUAGAGGGUGGUGGAAUUUCCUGUGUAGCGGUGAAAUGCGUAGAUAUAGGAAGGAACACCAGUGGCGAAGGCGACCACCCUGGACUGAUACUGACACUGAGGUGCGAAAGCGUGGGGAGCAAACAGGAUUAUAUACCCUGGUAGUCCACGCCUUAAAC